UGGGGAAUAUUGGACAAUGGGGGGAACCCUGAUCCAGCCAUGCCGCGUGUGUGAAGAAGGCCUUAUGGUUGUAAAGCACUUUAAGCGAGGAGGAGGGUACUGGUAUUAAUACUACCAGGUACUGGACGUUACUCGCAGAAUAAGCACCGGCUAACUCUGUGCCAGCAGCCGCGGUAAUACAGAGGGUGCGAGCGUUAAUCGGAUUUACUGGGCGCAAAGCGUGCGUAGGCGGCUAAUUGAGUCGGAUGUGAAAUCCCCGAGCUUAACUUGGGAAUUGCAUUCGAUACUGGUUAGCUAGAGUGUGGGAGAGGAUGGUAGAAUUCCAGGUGUAGCGGUGAAAUGCGUAGAGAUCUGGAGGAAUACCGAUGGCGAAGGCAGCCAUCUGGCCUAACACUGACGCUGAGGUACGAAAGCAUGGGGAGCAAACAGG
rnacentral:rRNA from 1 species